AGGCAGCAGUGGGGAAUUUUGGACAAUGGACGCAAGUCUGAUCCAGCCAUUCCGCGUGCAGGACGAAGGCCUUCGGGUUGUAAACUGCUUUUGUACAGAACGAAAAGGUCUCUAUUAAUACUAGGGGCUCAUGACGGUACUGUAAGAAUAAGCACCGGCUAACUACGUGCCAGCAGCCGCGGUAAUACGUAGGGUGCAAGCGUUAAUCGGAAUUACUGGGCGUAAAGCGUGCGCAGGCGGUUAUAUAAGACAGAUGUGAAAUCCCCGGGCUCAACCUGGGAACUGCAUUUGUGACUGUAUAGCUGGAGUGCGGCAGAGGGGGAUGGAAUUCCGCGUGUAGCAGUGAAAUGCGUAGAUAUGCGGAGGAACACCGAUGGCGAAGGCAAUCCCCUGGGCCUGCACUGACGCUCAUGCACGAAAGCGUGGGGAGCAAACAGGAUUAGAUACCCUGGUAGUCCACGCCCUAAACGAUGUCAACUGGUUGUUGGGUCUUCACUGACUCAGUAACGAAGCUAACGCGUGAAGUUGACCGCCUGGGGAGUACGGCCGCAAGGUUGAAACUC
rnacentral:rRNA from 1 species